GGCAGGGUGUACUGACAGGAAGCGCUGGGCUGAGAGAAGCCGGAACUGUGGUGCUUCACUCCAGCCUCACUCAGCCCCCAGUCAGUGCAUUGCU